UACAGAGGGUGCAAGCGUUGUUCGGAAUUACUGGGCGUAAAGCGCGUGUAGGCGGUCUUCCAAGUCCUGUGUGAAAGCCCUGGGCUCAACCCAGGAAGUGCGCAGGAUACUGGUUGACUGGAGUGGCGGAGAGGAUGGCGGAAUUCCCGGUGUAGAGGUGAAAUUCGUAGAUAUCGGGAGGAACACCUGUGGCGAAGGCGGCCAUCUGGACGUUCACUGACGCUGAGACGCGAAAGCGUGGGUAGCAAACAGGAUUAGAAACCCCCGUAGUCC
rnacentral:rRNA from 1 species